GCAGGAGAUUUUGAAUGUGAGUUCAUUGCCCCGUGUCAGUUAUAAGUAGCAUUUAUUUCAUGUGUUUUGCAUUUUUUUUGAUUUUGGAGACAUUUGUGAGGAAGUAAUUCUUCCUUCUCCUUUUGGGGGUUUAUUUGCUACUUGUCUCUUUUGUGAAAUUUUCUGUUAUCUACUUUCUUGGCAAGGCACUAGUCUGAGGAGUUAACACCCUUGUAUCAAAAGCUCAUCUUUCCACCUUUAGCUCCUCACGUCUUUGUUUGUGUUCCAGAAGAAAUUUCCAAGCAGCAAAAUGGAUGAAGAGAUGUUUUUUUCUCCUUUUUUAGGGCCGCACCCGGGGCAUAUGGAGGUUCCCAGGCUAGGGGAGCUACAAUUGCUGGCCUGUGCCAGAGCCACAGCAACACCAGAUUCGAGCUGUGUCUUCGACCUAAACUACAGCUCAUGGCAACACUGGAUCCUUAACCCACUGAGUGAGGCCACGGAGUAUACCUGUGUCCUCAUGAAUGCUAGUUGGGUGCAUUCCUGCUGAACUACGAUGGGAACCCCGAUGAAGAGAUUUUUAUCUCCGCUCCAUAACCCCCAUUGACUGAUGUGUUUCCUUUAAAACAGGAGGCUGAGGAGUUCCCACCAACGUGCAGUGGGUUAAAAGUCUGACUGCAGUAGCUUGGGUUGCUGCAGAGGUGUGAGUUCAAUCCCUGGCCCAUCUCAGUGGGUUAAAGGAUCUGGCAUUGCUGCAGCUGAGGCUGGGAUUCAGCCCCUUGUCUGGGAACUUCCAUAUGUCAUGGAUGUGGCCAUAAUAUUUAAAAAAUAGAAUAAAGCAGGAGACUGAAAGACCUGCUCGUUCACUCCAGAACAGCAGCUCUGAGAGGUCUGGACUCUGAUGGGGAGGGCAAGGUUGGGGAUGCGGAGUCAGGAUCGUCUUUGAUGUGUACAUCGUCUCGGAUGCUGGAGGAGAGAAGGGGAGGUGGUGACCAAUACACCUGGUCGCUCAAGGGCUCUCCUGCUGGAGGCUAGGAUACUGCCUGGUGUUGGAAGACUUAUGUUCUAGGUUGUAUGAGCCACUCAUGAGGAGUGUGGCUUUGGGCAAGUUACUUUACCUCGGGAAAACCUAUUUCCUCUUUAUAGAAAUUGUCGUAAUAGAGCCUGUUGUGUGACUUGACCCUUACAGGUUAUGUGACGAUGGGGGUGGAGAUAUUUUGGACACUGAGAAGUGUAUUUUGUUCUUUGUAUUUUGUUCUUGUUUUGUUUGCUUUUUGUUUUAUUUUCCCCUUUUAGGGCUGCACCUGCAACACAUGGAGGUUCUUGGGCUAGGGGUCUAAUCGGAGCUGCAGCUGCUGGCCUAUGCCACAGCCACAGCAAUGCUGGAUCUGUGCCACAUCUGUGACCUCUACACCACAACUUGUGGCAAUGCUGGAUACUUAACCCACUGAUCAAGGCCGGGGAUUGAACCCACAUCCCCAUGGACACCAUGUCAGGUUCUUAACCUGCUGAGCCACAACGGGAACUCCAAGAAGUGCAUUUUGGAAACAAGGGUCUAGUAUGAGAAUUUUCUUCUGAACAUUAACCAGUGCAUCACCAAAACAACUGUAAUCAUAAUAAAAAGGAUCUAGAAAUAAAGAGAAAUUAUGCAAAGUGCUCCUUCAGUUGGAGCAGAGUAGAAAAUGAUGUCUUAUCUAUCACGAGAAGACAGAUGCUUGCUGGCUUCCUUUUGCCUCACAGCCUUCUCUCUCUCUCUCUCUUCCUUUGCAGGGUUUUACAAACUAAUUUCCAGCCAAGCGCUGGAAAGUGGAAGCUGAGACGCAGCAUCAUGGGGAGGGGGCCCUGGCCUCAGUCCCACCACCUGGGCUUGCAUCCCGGAGCUGCCCUUCCCUCGCUAUGGGUACCUGGGUAGGUCUCUUCACCUCUCGGCCUGAGUUCCUCAUGCAUAAGUUAGUUAGAAUUUUAUUAAGGUCCUCUCUAGCACAUGGAUUCUUAGCUGUCCCAGCAUAGAGUUGAUAAUACCUGCCAGGGACUGAAGAGCCUGGUGUUGCCGAAUGACUGGGUUAUUGGUGUAGUAUCUCCCAUCCUCUCACACAGUUAUCAGGUGUUGACAUUGCUGUACUACAUCCCUGGUUUUUGCUCCUGACAGUGGCAGGGGGAUGGGACACUCCACAGCGGCUGCUUGGUGGCUCAGCGUCCCCAGGAUGCAGGAACAUGCAGGGUAUAGACCAAUGCCACAUUUUCCUUUGGUCCCAAUUCUGGGGAAGUGGUAAGGGAAGAGGUUGGGGAAGGGUGUGGUGACUCUACCUGGGCACCCAAAGCAAGGGUGGUGGGAAGAGGGUCACUUCUAAAUUGGAAGGCCACCCAAGACCUGCCGAAGGAUGAGCAUUACUCAGAGGGUGGGUCCCGUUCCCAUUUUAGAGCUGAAGUCAACUCCAGGCCCUGUUGUAGUUGGCUAAUGGCGAUCCCCAAAACCACAGGCUCCAGAGAUAUGAGCCAGCAUUCCAGGAAAAGCCACCCACGGGAGAAGGGAGGAUGGAGGGAGAGAGCUUGGCGCAAGGGCCUGCGUGUUUGGGGCUGAUUGCUUCAAAUGGAGGGUGACUGCACACUCCAGCGCAGGGUUCAUUGGUCAGACCUCAAGCAAAAUCCAGUCUACAGCUAUGGAUGCUUUGGCAACAGGGAGCUGAGUUGCUCCCCCUCCCCCAACCCUUGAGUCAACAUCCAGAGAAUGGAGGGAGGCCCGAGGUCACUGGGAAGUUCUUCAUUCUGUUGUUGUUUUCUUUAAGCUCAGAAAGACCAGCCUACGACUUAGGAGGCUUGGUUUGGAUGGCUCUCCAAACCCCUGGUCAGAUGGCGAUCUUUCAACUAAAACACAGGGUUAUUCGAAUUUUCUUCCAAAUUUCCGUGCAAACAAUUAUCCUGGCAUGUUAUCUGUCAUAUUUCCUUUGGAGGGUUCUUCCACACUGAAAAAAAAAAAUUCAUCCUAUCUUGUGAAUGAGUCGAUUGAGAAGUAAACCCUCACAUCCGUCGAGAUGUCUGAAGAUCUGAAUGAUUCCCCGAGCAUGAGCGCCCCUGACUACAGCUCUCCUUUGGGGGCAAGAGCCAAGAAAGACCUAGAAGGAUACAAAGGAUGCAGGAUCCCACCAGCAACCUUUUGCUGAGCUGGACUUAGAGAUGCAGCUAAAGGGACUCUUGAGAAGAAAAAAGGCAUUCCACACUGGUGAGGUUAGGGCUGCAGUCCUUAAAAGCGAGGUGGUUUCACGGAGACUGACUGCUUUAGGAAGGGACAGGUCCUGAUGCUCUCAAAGGGGAACUGGGUGACAUGGGAGGGAAGCAGCCCGGAGCCAGCACUGGGCGGGGUAUCAGGGCAGGGCUCCCCUUCCAGCAUCCCCACCUGCCCUCUCACUCCCACAGCCCAGGGCCCUCCGUCUGCUCUAUUCUCCACCCACCUCUGAAAACCUUCCAUCCCCGAUGCUACUUCAAAGCCCCCUGGGAAAGCCAAGUUGCCAAUUAAGCCUCUUUGAGGCAGGUUCUCAUUCCUUCCCCCACUAAUUGAAAUGUUACUCCUUUUACUAAACCCCUAAACCACCCAAACACAACGGUCUUCCUCAUUUGCAUUGUAACAACGACCCUAAUGUGCUUCCAAGAGCUUUCCCUAAAGGGGACGUGUUCGCUCCUCUCCCGGUAGGAGCCGGUAGGACCGGUCAAAAGAAUUCGGAGGCAAAGGCCUUCAUUUCCAUCCCUAUACAGCUGCUCAUUAGCUAAGGUGGAAGAAAUUCCUUUCAUGCUGGAUUCAUUUCCCAGGAUGAUAAUGUCUUUUUUGUCUCAGGCCACUGUUCCCAAACUAGGCCUUAAUUGCUGAUCGUAAUGGAGUUAAUACAUAUUUACAGGCUGGUAAGGUUAAAGAAGGUCUCCUGUAGUUUUAGUAUUUGAGACAUUUUAUUUAACUUGCAAUAAAAUCAUUAACCAGUUGUUGAGCGUUAAUGCUGUCCUUUAUCUUGUCUCUGCCCCUUUGGGACAGUUGGGUGAAGGCAGAUGGCUUAGGUGGAGGAUCGGGGUCGAUUCGCAGGCUGGGUGGAUGGGGAGCCCCAGUCCUCACCUCCUCACCUCUAGGUUCUGCCCUGUUCAGGGAGCAGGGCCUCUGCUGGGUGAAAGCGGAGAGCCUGGGGCAACGCCCGUGCCGCUCUCCCAGGCACCCAGCCAGGGAGUGCGGGCGGGGUGAUGAAAUCCCAUCAAAGCCACAGGGCUGGGCCAGGCUCCUGAAUGAGCUCCCACCAGUAACUCGAGCCCCAAGUGGCCCACAGGCUGGGCACUGAGCCGAGGUGUCAGGCCGCACGACAGCCUGGCCACUAGAGCCCUCCCAGAAAGAGGGGCUGCGCACAGGGCAGGAGGAGGGCCCAAGGGCCAAGGGCAAUGCCAGGGGCAGCUGCGGGGGCUUCCAAACUUCACCCUGGGAGUCUAACAGUGGGAGCGAGACAUGCAUGCCCCCUUUGCUGCUUUACAUCGGGGGAGGGAAAUCGGCUUAUCAAAAAUGACACUGCUUUGCGUCAACCGCAGGUCUGACUGCCCCCAGUGUGCUGCUCCCACUGCCAGAUGCUUCUUCUCUCCCCCUCUGGUUGCUUUGAUUUCUUUCUUUCUUUCCUUUCCUUUCCUUUCUCUUUCUUUCUUUCUUUCUUUCUUUCUUUCUUGCUUGCUUGCUUGCUUGCUUGCUUUCUUGCUUGCUUUCUUUUUUUCUUGCUUUCUUUCUUGCUUUCUUGCUUUCUUUCUUGCUUUCUUUCUUUUUUUGUCUUUUUGCCUUUUCUAGGGCCGCACCCUUGGCAUGUGGAAGUUCCCAGGCUAGGGGUCUAAUCGGAGCUGUAGCCGCCGGCCUGAGCCACAGCCACAGCAAACACCAGAUCCAAGCCUUGUCUGCGACCUACACCAGAGCUCACAGCAAUGCCGGAUCCUUGACCCACUGAGCGAGGCCAGGGAUCGAACCUGCCACCUCAUGGUUCCUAGUCGGAUUCAUUAACCACUGAGGAAUGCCUUGCUUUGCUUUCUGAUCUGUCCCGGAGCAGUGGACCAGGCUCUAGCCCGCCUUCCCCAGCCUCCCUGGUGCUGAAUGUUUCCUGGCCACAUGUUUCUACAUUUCCCAGCUCCCCUUGCAGGAGACAUGGUGGGAAGAAGUGACAGCGACCAGCUCCAUGCUCUUUGCCCUGUCCGGCUGCCUGGAAUGGUGAGGACCCUCAGGACAACUUCUGAAGACACAUGUUAAAAAUGGUCUGUGUAACCCGGUCACCUUGCUGUACAGUGGAAAAUUGACAGAACGCUAUAAACCAGCUACAAUGGAAAAAAAAUCAUUAUAUAAAUUAAAAA
rnacentral:lncRNA from 1 species